rnacentral:rRNA from 1 species
UACGUAGGGGGCAAGCGUUAUCCGGAUUUACUGGGUGUAAAGGGAGCGCAGACGGCAUGGCAAGUCUGAAGUGAAAUGCACGGGCUCAACCCGUGAAUUGCUUUGGAAACUGUCAGGCUGGAGUGUCGGAGGGGUAAGCGGAAUUCCUGGUGUAGCGGUGAAAUGCGUAGAUAUAGGAGGAACACCGGCGGCGAAGGCGGCUUACUGGACGAUAACUGACGUUGAGGCUCGAAGGCGUGGGGAGCAAACA